AGGACGAACGCUGGCGGCGUGCUUAACACAUGCAAGUCGAGCGGAAAGGCCCUUCGGGGUACUCGAGCGGCGAACGGGUGAGUAACACGUGAGCAAUCUGCCCUUAGCUUCGGGAUAGCUCCGGGAAACCGGAAUUAAUACCGAAUAUGACUUCGGCCGACAUCGGCCUUGGUGGAAAGUUUUUCGGCUAGGGAUGAACUCGCGGCCUAUCAGCUUGUUGGUGGGGUAAUGGCCUACCAAGGCGACGACGGGUAGCCGGCCUGAGAGGGCGACCGGCCACACUGGGACUGAGACACGGCCCAGACUCCUACGGGAGGCAGCAGUGGGGAAUAUUGCGCAAUGGGCGAAAGCCUGACGCAGCGACGCCGCGUGAGGGAUGAAGGCCUUCGGGUUGUAAACCCCUUUCAGCAGGGACGAAGCGAAAGUGACGGUACCUGCAGAAGAAGCGCCGGCUAACUACGUGCCAGCAGCCGC
rnacentral:rRNA from 1 species